GUCCAGUCGAGUGACACCUGAAUCAACCAGUAACGCUCAGCAACAAAGGCGGGCGCUGAAGGGGUGGGCGUGGCUUGUGCAGUGUUGUGGUAGUGGAUUGAGAAGAACGUGUGGUGCCGUGUUGUGGGCGGGGUUUUGGAAGAGUGAGGGUGUGGUUUAGGCUGCACUCAGUAGUAGCGCCCGCUCGUUUUCGUGUGGGAAUCUGGAGAGGACGGUACGUCUGCUCACGGCGGGUGACUGACGGACUGAGGGACCCGCUGCACUUCUCCUCAUACAUAAAAGAGUAGUUUGGAGUAGCUGGAAGAGGAAAGAACCACAUGCAAUUACAGCACGCUUAUUUCCCUAACCUGGAUUGAGAAGUCUGAUACCAUGGCAAGUGAAGCAGCUACAGGUAUUGAAGUAAAUGGUUCAGAAGAGUCUGAAAUACAGAAUGACCAGUUGAGCGCUUCAGAUGACCAGGGCCAUCAGCCAGCAGAAAACAGGGAGGUUACUGAC